rnacentral:rRNA from 1 species
UACGUAGGGUGCAAGCGUUAAUCGGAAUUACUGGGCGUAAAUCGUGCGCAGGCGGUUUUGUAAGUCAGAUGUGAAAUCCCCGGGCUUAACCUGGGAACUGCGUUUGAAACUACAAGGCUAGAGUGUGGCAGAGGGGGGUGGAAUUCCACGUGUAGCAGUGAAAUGCGUAGAGAUGUGGAGGAACACCGAUGGCGAAGGCAGCCCCCUGGGUUAACACUGACGCUCAGGCACGAAAGCGUGGGGAGCAAACAGG